UACAGAGGUCUCGAGCGUUGUUCGGAUUUACUGGGCGUAAAGGGAGCGUAGGCGGUUUGGUGUGUCGAAUGUGAAAUCCCACAACUCAACUGUGGAAUGGCAUUCGAAACUACCAAGCUAGAGUACUGGAGAGGAGAGCGGAAUUCUUGGUGUAGCGGUGAAAUGCGUAGAUAUCAAGAGGAACACCGGUGGCGAAGGCGGCUCUCUGGACAGAUACUGACGCUGAGGCUCUAAAGUUAGGGGAGCAAACAGG
rnacentral:rRNA from 1 species